GACGAACGCUGGCGGCGUGCUUAACACAUGCAAGUCGAACGGAAAGGCCCUGCUUUUGUGGGGUGCUCGAGUGGCGAACGGGUGUGUAACACGUGAGUAACCUGCCCUUGACUUUGGGAUAACUUCAGGAAACUGGGGCUCAUACCGGAUAGGAGCUCCUGCUGCAUGGUGGGGGUUGGAAAGUUUCGGCGGUUGGGGAUGGACUCGCGGCUUAUCAGCUUGUUGGUGGGGUAGUGGCUUACCAAGGCUUUGACGGGUAGCCGGCCUGGGAGGGGGACCGGCCACCUUGGGACUGCGGUACGGCCCAGACUCCUACGGGGGGCAGCGGUGGGGAAUAUUACGCAAUGGGGGGACGCCUGAUGCAGCAACGCCGCGUGCGGGAUAACGGCCUUCGGGUUGUAAACCGCUUUCGCCUGUGACGAAGCGUGAGUGACGGUACUGGAUAAAGAAGCACCGGCUAACUACGUG
rnacentral:rRNA from 1 species